UACAGAGACUGCAAGCGUUAUUCGGAUUCACUGGGCGUAAAGGGUGCGCAGGCGGCCAAGUGUGUUAGGCGUGAAAGCCCGGGGCUUAACCCCGGAAUUGCACCUAAAACUACUUGGCUAGAGCAUUGGAGAGGGUAGCGGAAUUCACGGUGUAGUAGUGAAAUGCGUAGAUAUCGUGAGGAACACCAGAGGCGAAGGCGGCUACCUGGACAAUUGCUGACGCUCAGGCACGAAAGCGUGGGGAGCAAAAGGG
rnacentral:rRNA from 1 species